GAUACGCUGCGAAAAGCCGUGGGGAGCUGCGAAUGAGCUUUGAUCCAUGGAUCUCCGAAUGGGGCAACCCACCUUAAGAUACUUGGGAAUCUGAUGCGCCGUUGGCGCGUGAGCGAAUAGUUCUUAGCGAAUAGCGAAUAGGGUUCAAAAAACUAUUCGCUACUCGCUAUUCCCUAUUCGCUCAUGUCGAAGACGCCUCAGGUUCCAAGUAUCGAUAAUAAGGUAUCUACACCUGAAUACAUAGGGUGUAAGAAGCGAACGCAGGGAACUGAAACAUCUAAGUACCUGCAGGAAAGGACAUCAACCGAGACUCCGCA
rnacentral:rRNA from 2 species